rnacentral:lncRNA from 1 species
UCCAUUGGCUCGGCUCCUCUACCUCUUUAACUGGGCACUUCCAUAUGGAAUUAGUCCAGAAGAUCUGGAUAUGAUUGAGAAGAAGGGAUUAAGUGCGAGCUCUUGCAUAUAAACUUCACGCAUAUUAACUGGGCACUUCCAUAUGGAAUUAGUCCAGAAGAUCUGGAUAUGAUUGAGAAGAAGGGAUUAAGUGCAGCGAAACAUAACGAUCUGUGCUUAAUUGCCACAGAUCACAGAAGCGACGAAAACUUUUGAUGUUGUGCUUUCAAUGCUUAAAGUCAUACCCUAUAUAAUGCUUCAUCCUAUAAUUAAUUUGGUUCAUAUUCAUGUCGCCCCUUUUAUCUUUUAUGCGUUGUUUGGAUGGUUGUUUCCGGUUGUAUUGUAUUGCUGCCUUUCUUUUGAUAGUUAAUUUAAAAAUAAUUGCAUCAUAUUGUUAAAUCUAUUUUUCCGGAACAAUAAACAAUCUCAUUUUCUGAAACAA